rnacentral:rRNA from 1 species
UACGUAGGGGGCGAGCGUUGCCCGGAUUCAUUGGGCGUAAAGGGCGCGUAGGCGGUCACGGUGCGUCCCGCGUGAAAUCUCCCGGCUCACCUGGGAGGGGUCGCGGGAAACGACCGGACUGGAGCACGGUAGGGGGCCAUGGAAUUCCCGGUGUAGUGGUGAAAUGCGUAGAUAUCAGGAGGAAUACCGAUGGCGAAGGCAGGUCUCUGGGCCUUGCCUGACGCUGAGGCGCGAAAGCUAGGGGAGCGAACAGG